rnacentral:rRNA from 1 species
CAGCACCUCAAGUGGUCAGGAUGAUUAUUGGGCCUAAAGCAUCCGUAGCCGGCGCUGUAAGUUUUCGGUUAAAUCUGUACGCUCAACGUACAGGCUGCCGGGAAUACUGCAGCGCUAGGGAGUGGGAGAGGUAGACGGUACUCGGUAGGAAGGGGUAAAAUCCUUUGAUCUAUUGAUGACCACCUGUGGCGAAGGCGGUCUACCAGAACACGUCCGCCGGUGAGGGAUGAAAGCUGGGGGAGCAAACCGGAUUAGAUACCCGAGUAGUCC